rnacentral:rRNA from 1 species
GACGAACGCUGGCGGCGUGCUUAACGCAUGCAAGUCGAACGGAAAGGCCCUGCUUUUGUGGGGUGCUCGAGUGGCGAACGGGUGAGUAACACGUGAGUAACCUGCCCUUGACUUUGGGAUAACUUCAGGAAACUGGGGCUAAUACCGGAUAGGAGCUCCUGCCGCAUGGUGGGGGUUGGAAAGUUUCGGCGGUUGGGGAUGGACUCGCGGCUUAUCAGCUUGUUGGUGGGGUAGUGGCUUACCAAGGCUUUGACGGGUAGCCGGCCUGAGAGGGUGACCGGCCACAUUGGGACUGAGAUACGGCCCAGACUCCUACGGGAGGCAGCAGUGGGGAAUAUUGCACAAUGGGCGGAAGCCUGAUGCAGCAACGCCGCGUGCGGGAUGACGGCCUUCGGGUUGUAAACCGCUUUCGCCUGUGACGAAGCGUGAGUGACGGUAAUGGGUAAAGAAGCACCGGCUAACUACGUG